UGAUGAAGAAAUGUAAUGUUGUGUUGUAGGACACAGCUAGCUAGCUAGAUUGCUUGGAAACUGAGUAUGUGUUGUUAGUUGCAGAGUCGCCAUUGCCCUCAAGUUAAGCUUCGUCUAUUUUCCAACUACCAUUUUUCCCUGCAGUUUGGCUCCCGCGUAUUUCAACUUCCAACGACCAACUUACGAGGUUUUCAUUUAAUAUCUUUAUCAUAUACAUAGGACCCAAACAAUAUUUUUUUUACACUUUGAGAAAUAACAAUACUAAUAAUACUUGUUACUAUUAUUAUUAUUUUUUUCAUUUUAAUUGAUUGGUGUUCAAUUAUAUCUUACGGCAUUUAAAUCUAUAGUUUUGAGAAAACAUGUUCAUGCCAUACAGAUACAUCAUAUCCUGGUCAUGAUUACUCAAUUUCUCAACAAGAUUUUUCUUUAAUAUGUUGAGUCAACGUCCCUGUCGACGCUAAUUAAUUCAAUUAAUAAAUAUUUUCCCUAAAACAGUACAAUAGAAUAGAUCUCGGGUUUGUGUAGCCGCUGGCUUGAGUGGAAUAAUACCAAACAUAAAAUUUAUUAAUAUACACGUGCAGAAAAUAUAAAAUAACGUUUAAAUUAGGUGCCCGCAGCUGAGGGGGCCUAUGACCACGCCAACUUAUUACUUCGCAUGUGGCGCCGUAGAUCCAUUGCUUUCUGCAGUUCUGUUAACGGUGCGAGAGCAUGCUUGAAAUUUAAGGACUUAAGACCUAAGUCAAGUUCAAAUCAUUAGGUACGUCGGUUGAAGCUUCUCCAUCUAGAUAGUCUAGUAUCUCCUACUUACGAAAUAUUACCCAGAUUAAAUAACAAACACCCUGUUUCAUUCACAUUCACGUAACUAUUGUCAUAUCGUUAUCCCGAAAGAUUGAAAAAAAUUUCCUUACAAAUCUGUAGGUCGUGCAUACACUAUGUUCCAAUUUGAUAAAAGCAGUUCAACAGAAACUGUGAAAACCAAAAGGCAGUCCUUGCAGAAUGUAACAUUCAGGAUUUGGGUUCGUCAGGCACAAACACCACCAGCGUAUCAGCCAAGUCAGAUGUCACGGCAAAUUCGCCAUGCAACAUUCAACAAGUGAUAUUUAUCAUCGGUCCUCAAGCAACCAUAAAUCCCAAAAACUUAAAGAAAUGCAGUGCAGGAACCAUAACCCCACCAUUCCCUAUUGCUGCCAACAAUAUGGAAGAUUUUCAUGUGCCAAUGAUGAAAAUAGAAAUUCUAAGCCCAAGCUUCGAUGUCCACUUGUUCAUACUUCAUAUUCCAAAACCCUUAAAUAGACACAAUAAAUAACUCAAUAAUCCACCAAGUCUUCUCUAAAUAAGUUUACGGAACAAAUACCAUGACUGGUCAUCUUGCAUACAAAAUUUUAAAAAUUGUUCUUGCUUCCAGAACAGCCUCACAGGAAACAUAUACAUGCCAUUUACUGAACCUUGUAUAUGACGUCUUGAUUGUCUAAAGAAAAAAGAAGUAAUGGAUCUAUCAAAUGUUACAACUAUUCGAUCUGAAAAAGCUGCUUAUGUUAUAGAAUAUCUAAUAAAUAUGCCACACAGCUGUAACACACUAAUUCUAUACACGAAUUUCAACACAUCCCAGUCGAAAGGCACAUAUAAGGAUUACCGGCCAAUUUGUUAUGUUGUCAAAACCCCACUUGGAAUGGCUGAAUGCACUCAGACACCAGUUGAGACUUCAUCUACAACUUGUUUAUCUUUCUUCUUCGGUGGUUCUUGAGCCUUCUGUGAGAGGGCCUUAUUUGGAACUAAAAUUAUAAAUAUAUUCCUAUCUCUGAAUUUUUUGUUCUCCUCAAUAGCAAGCUGCAAAAGGAACACCAAAUAAAGACCAAAAAUGCAGAAUUCGUGAAGUGCCAACGAAAAGGCUAUUUCUGUUGAUAGUAGGAAACAGAAGUAAUAUGAGUACCUCCCCAACAUCAUUCUGGAAACGUCGUAUUAGCUCAAUAGCAAUAUUUCUGAAUUCAUUUUCCCGCCCUUUGAGGUUCACUAUGACCUUAACCUGAAAGAAUUGACAAUAUAUACUUCAGUUAAGCAAGACUAAAAGCAAGAGUAAUUAAUGUGUUAAUCUAAUUUUAACACAUGCAGAGAAGAAAAGUUAAGCCACCUUGUCUCCAUCUUUCAGAAACUUCCUUGCAGCUUUUAGACGCACAGAAUAAUCAUGCUGGUCAAUAUUAUAACUGUCAACAGAAUUAAACAUAACAAGUAAAACCAUAACUUAGAUAUAAGAAUGUUAUAGCUUCAGAAAUUUGAAUAACAAUCUUGACUGGAAUGGUCACUGAGAAACAUAUAUACAGACCCACCCACAUUCAACACUACUUGUUGAAUUUUCAAAGUUAGUAACUUCACUAGUGUAAACUGUAACAUUGACACAAAAACCAUCUCAAAAAAUCUAAGAUAAUGGAGGAAAUCAAAAUUUGAUAUUUGAAUCAUGCAGAUAAACAGGAUUGUGAUGAUUUUGGAAAAUAUUCAUAUGCAAAAUUAAACGUUGUGCCAUCAGAAACAGUUGUUUAAUAAGCCACCAACAACUUAGGCAUCAAAACUCAAAAACAAACCAAAGAGUUCUCUCUGAAAUUGGAGAAAAGUAAAUGCAUCAACAAACUUACCCCAUUUUAAGCUCCUUCAAAUCCAUCCGAUUGGCUAACAUUUAAGAGAAGAAAUAUUGUCAGUGUCUUUAUUCUUUCUUUUCUACGUGACUUCACAAAACAAAUAGGGAAACAGAAAAUUGUAUAAGAAGUAAAUAUUCACCUGCACUUUUCUUCUGCUGCCCUUUCUUCUUCUUUUGCUGUUCAUAUCUAUAUUUACUGAGGAAGAAGUAAAAGAAAAGCAUUAGUACACUCUUAAAACAGUAUAUAUAAUAAGGCAGAAAAACAGAAGUGAUUCUCAAAUUAUUUAAAGAAAAUGAGAUUUUAAAAAUAAAUCAUCAGACAAGUGGAUUUCCCAAUCAAGAUCUCUGACCAUCUCAGACAAAUUGGAGGGGUGGGGGGGGGGGGGGGGGGGGGUAUAUAUAGAGGGAGAGAGAGAGAGAGGCACACAUUGUCGUUUUUUUAAAAGAAUCAAAGAAAUAAAUCAUACUUGUAAUCCAUUGCUCUGACAACUGGAGGAUCUGCAUCUGGGGAAACUAUCACCUGCAAGAAUGCCGGUAUCAUAAAAGUCAAAAGCAUUAUCUUUACAUCAAAAGGAAACUCAAAACUUUCUCGAAAAAAAUAGUGAACUCUAAAUGAUAAGAAAGAAUCAGUUGAAUAAAAUUAACAAACUAAUCAAUAUUACAACAUACCACACUUCAACAAUUAUAGACAAUUAAUAUCAGAAGUGCUGCGUUACCAGGUCUAGUUCAGCAUCCUCGGCCAUUUGAAUAGCUUCACUCUUAGGAACUAUACCAACCUAUGCCAACCAACAAGAUCAAAACUUUUGACCAAGAAUGAGAACUACAUCUAAAAUUCUUCUUCAUAAUCAGUAAAGAUUCAAACUUUUCAGUUAUUUUCACACUUUCUCAGCUACCAAACAGAAAAUUCAAUCCACUAACCAUGUUUUGCUGAGCAUCAAUAAGCCUCACAGUGUUCGACCUAUGCCACAAACCAACAAGCCACUUCAAUUCAAUUCACAACCACUACGUAUUUAUAAACGUAAACGUAUAAAAAUUAACAAUAAAAUAGACAUAAAUUCUUAAGUGAGUUACUAAACAAAAAAUUAAAAAUAACUUCAUGCAUUGAUUGAUUAUACGACUCUUUUUACAAAAAUCAGAGCUUUAUUUUCAGUAAAUCCAUGCGAGGAGUAACUAGUCUGAGUUUUUAGGUACCUGAUGCCAUCGAUAUCAAAGGCUUGCUCUUCUUCCAAAUCUUUUUCCUUUUGGCGGCGGCGGGAGUAGUCGGAGCCUGCGAAGCGGGGCCCGCCACCGCCGCCGUAUCUGGCGGUGAUGGAAACGUUGUGGUGAUGGGGAGAAGGCGAGAAAGAAAUGAGGAAGAAAUGGUUGAGGUUACACAAAUGGAGGCCGAAGAACUUGGACUCGAUUGAAGAGAGCGACGGUGUCGUUUUAGAAAAGUGAAAGGCGCUGGCGAGACCAGCCAUAGUGGUGUUUUCAAGGGAAGCGGGAGUUGGGACUCCGCGAACCAGAGAGAAAUUUUCUUAUCCAGAAAUUUUCUUCAUUUUAGCUAGUAAGGGGAAGUGCUGAUUGGCAGAUCGAGGGCCGGUUCGGGCCGGGUAUAUGAGCCCAUAAUUAUGAAAUUACCGCUUCUCAAAUCUGAAAACAAUUAUCAUAGCCAUUUGUGUUGCAAAAUCUUGAGUCGCAUUCUAAAAAAUGUAAGCGUUAUACUACUACAAGAUGAUUUUAUAUAAUUUAUUAUUAUUAUUUUUUGUCACGCGGCAUUUAAAUGAUUCAUUCUCCACUUAUGUGAGUGGAAUUACUACAACAACUACGUAAAUUAUUAUCAAAUUUAGCGACAGCGAAUUGUAUAUAUAUCUUAUAAAAUUUUGUAUAUAUUUGACUUCAAAAAGCUUUUUGGUAGUUGUCCAUUCUUAAGCAAUUUGUAAUCAUUAAAUCUUGGGAUUGGUAAGAAAUUAUGUUAAUAUAGUAAUAGAACAGGAUGGAUGCUGAAUGUAAAGUGUUGAUAAAAAAAAGAAAAGGUAAAUUAUGUAGGAGUGGGUGUAAAGAAUUAGUGGAAGGAGAAAUAAUAAUACGUAUAAAUGAAUUUAUAAAUAUUUUUAAUGUAAUUUUAAUACCGAGGUAUUUUUUAAGAAUAAUAAAGGAGUGCUAAUAGUUUAACUCUAUGUAAAAUAUUAGUAGACAUGUAUAUUUUAUAAUAUCAAUAUAUAAUAUUAUCUACGUAUAUAAUUAAAACUUUAAUAGUAUAAAUAUGUAAUAUUAUGAUAAAUAUGUAUAUCAAAGGAUUAUGAAUUUGUUAAACUCUGAGAAAGUUAUUAAACCGUAUGGUUUAAUUGUGUAAUGACCAUGAAAGUUAUCAAAACCAUGUGGUUUAAUAACUUUUCGGAGUUUAAUAAGGUCUGGAAUCUUUGACUAGAUCAACAUCCUAUAUAUGUAGUGCAAAUGGUUAAUGUAAAUCUUGUUAAAUAUAUAGAUAUUAAGUGGGUCAUUAGAAAUAUAUUUUCAGUUGAGCUAGUCUCAAUAUUUUGACAUGAUUAUUAAAUGGGUCGUGUUUAAAUCAGUCUAAAUUUGAGAAGACACAAAUACACCGUAAUGCCACGAACACACCCCAAUAUUCAUAAAGAAAAAUAUUUAUACAUUAUCGUCAACAAAAACCUUAAAUGUAGGUCAAUAUGAGACUAAAUCAAGUGAAAAAAGAACUGAAAUAUAUUAGUAAUGUUUCUUUGACAAAUAAAGUUGCGAGUAAAUUAGUAAUUAAAGAAAAUUACAUAAGAUUUAUAGAGGGAGUGUUUUUGGUCUUAAAAAGUGUAUCCAUUGUCAUUUGAUUUAUCUGGAUAUAACAAAAGAACUAUUGCUACAGUUCAAUGACAAUGGUCAUUUUGGAUUAUUGAUCGACCCCUUAAACUAUCUAUUGUCCUUGUAGUAAAAAAACAAAAAAAAAAAAACAAAAAUAGCAAGCAAAUAAUUAUCAAUUGAAGCUGAGAUUCUGGUUCACUACUAGUCAUAAUGUAAAAAAUAACAUUUCCGAGAGGGCCAUAACACAAAUAGAACGAUUGGAUGGAGUCAAAUAAUAAAAUUCUAUAAUAACCCCAUGCUUCUCCAAAAAUUAUCUCGACAGGUUUUUGCAGAGCUGAGUAACAGCACGCGUCUCAAGAGGAAUCGUUUAGUGAAAAUCAAAUAUUAAACUAAUUCUAAAUUUGCCUCCUAGUCUUACUCAAUUAAGGGUGUAUUUAAAAUUGAGAUUGGUCAAUUGUAACUUAUAAAUUAUAGUAAUAAAGUGUUUGGCAAACACUAUCUGCUGCAGUUUGAAAGUUAUGCUGAUAUGAUUUUUCACUUGUACGAUGAAAAAUCUAUCAUAUCUUUAAUAAUUUUGUUAAAAUUAUUAUUUAAAUAUUUAUUAUAUAUUAUUAACUUUUGUUUCAUAAUAAUAAUUUUUUUUUUCUACGGCAGCUAUAAUUUGAAAGUUAUAGUAUCUCAAUAUCAAUCAGGAUCUAAGACUCGGAUUAAUACUUUUUUAAACACAGAAAACACAAAACUUAAAUCCAAUUAUAGUACUUCUAUUUUUUUCUUUUAUGAUUAUUAGAAGGUUUAUCUCCAAGUCCAACAAUCAGUAUGGGAAAUAAUAUAGCUGAUAUAUCCUUUUCUUUUCCUUAGAAAAAUAAAUUUUUCAUUCAUUCAAUUUUUUUUUUUUUUGGGAAUAUGGUUGGUAUAUUCACUUAAAAUGAAAGCAGCUAAAAGAGUUCAGAAACUUUUUUUUUUCUCUUAUUAGAAAAAUGGUUCAGAUUUUUUCUUGCACCGACAUUUGAUGGAAUUAAUUUAGAUUGGGGUCAGAUCAUGAAGUCAGGACAGCGUGUAUUAUUCAAAAAAUUUAUCUAAAAUAGGCAAAUAUUGUGUUAAAAUAAAAUAAAAACGAAAUGCAAAUGAGUAAAUGACGCUAAAAUGGAAGGGACACGGGCUGCACAGCCAACCCGGACUCGCGGUUACCACGGCACAAAAAGUGAAACACGAGGUGAAAAAGUGCCCGCAUAACUCAAGAUACUGAAUCCAAACUUCAUAAAACUCACCAAACAGGGCGUAAAAUAGCUGAUUCCAUUGCGGUGUCAUCACACACGUGGCAUAACCACAAAAGUGAGCUCCACACAGCGCAGCAAGCAACUUUUAAAAAUAUAGGCUUAGUGGCUCAGGCGCUUAGGCUUGGCGUUACCGACACUUGUGAGUUAGUGGGGUGCCGCGGUCGCUGCCAGAUUCGGCGAGGGAUAUUGACACGAGUGCGUUUCAUCAAGUGGGGCCCACGGAAGGUAACCGGCAAAAGUUAGGGCAAAACACGACUGUAGAGCGACGCCGCGUUUUCGUUUGUUUUGGGAAAGCAGCUUUUCGAUGGAAGCCGAAGUAAUUACUUGGAAAGUACAUUUUAUGAUCUGAGCUGUUUUGAAGUGCCGAUCUUGUCCUUGCACUGCUACUGACACACAAAAGAUAAGUGAUGAGUUGACAUUGAAAUUACCAGGCUGCCACUUUUCAUAGUUCUGUCCACGCGAAUGUAAAUCCCAAUCCCCAGAUACCAUUGCAAAACACUACUCAAUUUUUGGUGAAAAGUAGGCACACGCUGGAAUAACCUAACAAAGUGAAUGUAUUUGCUUUGUCCAUUUUGUUUUCAGAUUUUGACCACUGGAAUCUCUCCAAAAUCCUUUUGAAACUCUUUUUUAAUGUAUUCCAUUUAAUGUCAAAGACACUUUUUUUUUUUUUUUUAAAUAAACACUCUUUUCAUUCAUAAAUCAUUUAAUUUCUAAUAAAUUUUUUCCACUAUUUUAAUAUUAAUAUUUGUAUUUCUCUCUUCAAACUUUAUUUAUUAUUUAAUUUAAAAAAAAGUCUAACAAAAAAAGUGAUAAGGCUUUAUACUUAAAAAAAUAAUGAAUAUUUUAUGAGUCUAUCAUGACAACUGAUUUUCAAAUGAAAGCCACUAGUAAACCUGACACUAUUUAUUUUCAAAUUGACCAUGGUCAAGAACACCACAAAUCCACAAUUAUUGGCAAAGACCUGAAGAAAUGGACACACCCAAAAUUGUUUUUGCUGCUACUAAAGAAAAAUCAAGUUAUGAUGUUUUCUGUUGAGAUAGCAGGUAUUCUUGCAACCACUUAUAUGUGUUUAAACACUCUUAUUAAGUUUAUUCUGCUACACUUCUCACUAGGGCUAAAAAUGAUAGGUGAAAUCAAUUUUAUAGUUUUAAUCAACCCCCAAAUUAUUGUACCUUAUAAACUUUGGGUGAGCAAUUAGUUUGAAAUUUCUUAAAAAAUUAUUUGUAGUGGGGUAUAAAUUUUAUUCCAUUUAUUUUCCUACUGUGUUGUAUCCUAAUUUAGUUGUUAUAUUUAUUACAAGAUUUUUGUUUUGGCUUAGAGGAUUACUUCUUAAAUUCAUAUUAUUUUAAUGAUAAUAAAAAAAUUAUAUUGUGCAAGCAAAAUAAAUUUGAAGAGAGAGAAACAUAAAUGGGGUUAAUCCUAUUUGUAUAUGUCCUUAAAUGUAACUCUAUUAUAAUAAGCGUUUUAAAAGAUUAAUGAAAGGUUGCCAAUAGUCGAACGCUUGUUUUUAUUCAAAUUGUCAAUUUAUAAUCUUAUUAAAUUUUAAAUAUAACAUAUUAAAGAAAAUUUCAUUAUAUUUACAUAAUAUAAUAAACAAAAAUUAAAGUUUUUUCCAUGUUAAUAUAAACUUAUAUUGCUAAAAGCUAUGCGUAUUAUAUAUAUAUACGAACACGAAGUGUUCAUCACACCAUAAGUCCAAUUUUUUUGGAUAUUCAUUCAAGAAAGAAACUGAAAAAUAUAUUUCACAAUACCAUUUUUUUUAAUAUUUUAAUAUUAAGCCUACUGUUAUUAGUUUUCAUUAUCAUCAAUCCAUGACCCUAAUUUUAAUAAUGAAAAUUAUAUUAGUUAAUUAGUUCCUAGAAAUAGUUUUUCCCAAACAAAAAUAGAUAAGGACAAAUAUGUCAAAUAAUAACAAAAGAAAAUCUGGCUUAUAUACUUCAUCAACAAAACCAAGGACAUUCACGUAAUCACGUAAACCCAACCAAAGUGAAAUUCAAUUUUUUAAAAAAUAAAAAUAAAAAAAGAAAUUGCGAGAGAAAGAAGGGUUUUUUAAUUUUGGCGUCACACGACACUCCGGCCUCACAUAUAACAUUAACCCUUUGUUUCUCUCUUUCUUUUUUCAAGUUUCUAUAGUUCUCUCCUCAGAGAGAGAAUUUCAAUUACUCGUUUCUGUUUUCCUUAUUACACACAAAUAUUAUUAACUCUUCUCGCUCUCGUUCGCUUUCUCUCUCUCCAUAUCUAUAUCUAUAUAUAUAAAUAUCCUCCGUCAGCGUUACAACAAUCGCUGCCGAGUCUUUUGUUAUUAUUAUCAUCUUCUUCGUUAAAAGUUUUGAUUUGUUUUUGGACGGCGUAGAUUUGAUCGAGGUAUGCAUCAAGGUGAUCAGACGGUGUUGAGCUUGAGACCUGGCGGUGGUCGCGGUGGUGCUGGCGGCGGCGGAGGCGGCAAUAGCAGAUUGUUUAGCGGGUCUCGUUUUGAUUCUGGAGCUGGCGCUGCUGCUCCUUCUUUGGCUUUUGGCUCUUUCUCUUCGGAUCUCCCUUUCUUGCGUCCCCAUGGCGGCGCCCCUCCUUCAGCGGUAGUAGUUUUUCUCCAUCUCCUGAUUUGGAUCUGGAUUUUGUUUUCUGUGUUUAUGAAUGAUGUUUUCCUGUGGAUUUGUUUUUGUUUCUAUUGGUUUGGUUUGUUUUCGAAGAAAGUUGGAUCUUUGAUUGAUUGUUGUGCUGUUAUAUAUUCGCUAAGCUGAUAUAAUUAUUGGGUUGGUUUUGUUUUCUUAUUCAAUUCUGCGUGUCUUGUUAUAAUGAGAUUACGUGGGAAAUAUGGCUCUCUAGUUCAAAUUUUAUUCCAGUUUACUUGUAUUAUUAGCAUUAUGUAUUUAUUUGAUCCUUUAGUUGUAAUUCUAUGUUUUUCUCUUUUCUGGUAGUUGAUGAUCAUAUAAUAGUCCUAAUUCUUGGUGGGGCACUAAACACUUGUGUAUCUGCUGUAAAUAUGGACGGAAAAGAAUAUGUAGGCUUUAGGUGGGCAUUCUGUGAGUUUGAGGUUGCCCACAAAGGACCUAUGCACAUUGUUUGUUUGAAGAUUGGUAAUUUUAUUGGAGGUGUGUGAAUGAUGAGAGGAAAAUAUUUCUCAACCUCUAUAGGGUGAUUCUUCUGAAGUCAUAACUUUUUUUUUCCUUGUUCGUGGAAUUAUAUUCUGGUCUGCUGACCCAUGACCACUUUGAGUCCUUUGUCCAAAUAUAUUGAACCCUGUAGCUUUGGCUUAUAUUAGGUGAGUAUAGUUUCUAGUUCUUUAAACAGAAUGAAAACAGUCAUGCUUAUGAAUUUUAGGUAGUUUAUAUUAGAUGUAAUUUACAACCAUAAAUUUUAGGUAGUUUGUAUAGCUGUUUGCUACUUGGUGUUUGUUGUUAGGUCUUUUCUCUGUCCCUUGUGUUUUCUUGCCCGUUGAAGGUUCUUGACUCAUUCAUUAAUUGCUUGUUGUUGUAGACUGGAGACUCACGGUUUGAGGGUCGCGAGCGGGUGCGGUACACUCGAGAGCAGCUGUUGCAGCUCAGAGAGGUGAAAUUUUAUUCUUUGGUUUUAAUGCAUAGACUUGCAAUCUUCUCUCUUUUUAUUUACACUCGGAAGAGGAGUCACCAUUUCAGCCUCUGUUUCUUUUUAGUUUUAUUUAUUUUUGGAGAAUAAUGUCUGAACAUGUUCUUUCUCUCUUCGUAGGCUGCUGUAAUAGCUGAUGAUAUUCUCAAAAUCAAACGAGAAUUUGAAUCUGAAGUCUUUGGUGAAGAACAAAUCUGGGGACGUGCGGAAAACAAUGUGUGUUGCUGACUAAGUUUGAUGUGGUUUCUUACUAUUUAUUUAUUUUUCUCUGUGUUGCGGGAGAUGCUUGGUUGGACGGAAUGAUCAUAGGAAAUUAGCUUCGGAAUUUCUGAUUUUUGACUCAAAUGUCCUUGUGUGAUUAUUUAAUCUGCGUGAUGAUAUUUUAAUCUCCCAUAUGACAAUUUUUUGUCCUUUCUACAGCCGCCGAACCAACCUCAGAGCCGUUACUCUGAGCCAGAUAAUCGUGACUGGCGUCGUCCUGCACAGUCUUUUCCUUCUGGAGAAUUUAAUCGAGAUAACAGAGAGUUUGCCGGACGAUAUGACUUCAGGCAGCCGGAUGGAAGUCAAUUUAAUCGCCAAGACCAACUCAAUUACCAAUUUUCAAGGGUGCAAAUGUCUUCUAACCCAGGGGUAGGUAUAUUUGUACACUGCUUGUGUUGCUUCAUAUAGUUUAUUUGUUUAUGUUAUCACUUGCAUCCCUGAGUGGUUGCAUUAGCUUUUAUACAAAUGACGGUCUGUGUAUAUUUUGCAUCAUUCUUGGACCGUGGUGAUAUAAUGUUAAUAAAUAUUUGAACUGUCUCGACAAAAAUAUGAUAAACAUGGAGCUGAACUCUCCUGAAAUGAUUUUGCCUGCCGCUCAUCUGAUUGCCUAAUGAAAAUCUUUAAUACAUUGAAGGUUCCAUUGAGUAUCCUACGGAAUUUGUCUGCCUGCAUGUCAUAAUUUGCUGGGUUUGAUUGUUGAGUUGUUGGUUCAAUGACAUGAGUAUUGAAAGAUAUAUAUAUAUGAUGUGCCGUGGGGAUUAUGGAUUUUGUGUGAAGUAGUGGGAAAAUUCCGUUGUAAAGUCUCUUAUAUUUAUGGUCAAAAUUACUGCUAAAUUUAAAGCCGAGCUAUGCUAACAGACUCAAUAAAGGAAUUUGUGCCUGUUCUGUAGUGUUAUAGCUUAUGUGGAUUUCUUCUGUUGUGCAUGCGUGGAUGCUGUUUGAUUCUAAUUUCAGCCAACUGUGUUUACUUUUUGAACAGGGAGGUCCAGCUCCGGCUUUAAUCAAAGCUGAGGUGCCAUGGUCGGCUAAAAGGGGAAAUCUUUCUGAGAAAGAACGUGUCUUGAAGACUGUGAAGGGGUAAUAUUUUUAAUCAUAUUUAGUUUAUCUGCUAUUCGAAUUGAGGCUCCAUUUCGUUUGACUAACUACUGAACUUAAGAUUUAACAACCCUUGGAUACAUUCUUGCAUCGAUGAUUCCUUAUUAUAAUCUGGAAAAUAUUGAAGGAUGAUAAGAUUCGGAUAUUUCUUUCAAUAAUUUCAUUGUCGGAUGAGUGACCAAAACAUACUUGCUGCAUAGCAUUUAUUUCCUGAACAUAUUCAAGGUAGCUGUUCUCUUUUGAGGGAUCUUUUGUUUUUCCUUAUUAUCAUCAUAUGUUCUUUUGAUGCAAUCCUAACAGACAGAUUGCUUCUUGAAGGCUUAUGCAACAUACAAGUAUCAGCAUGUUCUCUGAACAUUAUUUUUUGUUUCAUCUCCAGGAUACUGAAUAAGCUAACCCCUGAGAAAUUUGAUCUACUUAAGGGUCAACUCAUAGACUCUGGCAUCACAUCUGCUGAUAUCCUAAAGGUUAGAUAUCUUUGGCUCUACAUUUCAAUGGCUUUCUUUCAAACUUCUUUGGUUUACAAUAAUUGAAGUUUUCAAUUGAACUCACUGGUUACCUGCUACAGGAGGUUAUAUCUCUCAUAUUUGAUAAGGCUGUGCUGGAGCCCACAUUUUGCCCCAUGUAUGCCCAGCUAUGUUCUGAUCUUAAUGAGAAGCUUCCUCCAUUCCCUUCUGAUGAACCCGGUGGGAAAGAAAUCACGUUCAAGCGUGUCCUGUUGAAUAUUUGCCAGGAGGCAUUUGAGGGUGCUGACAAACUGAGGGGAGAAGUGAGGCAGAUGAUUGCUCCAGAUCAAGAGUCAGAGCGUAGGGAUAAAGAAAGAUUGGUCAAGCUUCGUACUCUUGGAAACAUUCGUUUGAUUGGGGAGCUACUGAAGCAGAAGAUGGUGCCUGAAAAGAUUGUUCAUCACAUUGUUCAGGUUAGUGUUGAGGAUGAUAGCUGAGGAUCGCAGAACUAACUUUGAGACAUGCUGAUUAAUCUGAAGAUUGAUUAUCAAUUAUCAUUGUGUAAACAGGAGCUUCUAGGACAUGAUAGUUCAACUUGUCCUGCUGAGGAAAACGUUGAAGCCAUAUGUCAGUUCGUCAACACCAUUGGCAAGCAGCUUGAUGAAGGCCCAAAAUCACGGCGUAUAAAUGAUAUGUACUUUAGCAGGUUGAAGGAAUUGACUACCAAUCCUCAACUUGCUCCCCGGCUAAGGUUUAUGGUUCGAGAUGUUCUUGAUCUGCGGGCAAACAACUGGGUUCCUAGGCGUGAAGAGGUAGCUUCCCAAUGCCCUUUUUUUCAGUAAAUAUUUUUUGUUAUUUAUGUGGUGAUGCUGAUUUGAUCAGUGUUUUAUAUCCUGAGUAUAUAUAUUCUUCUACCGUCAAUUUUACAGGUCACAGCAAAAACCAUAACUGAAAUCCAUUCAGAGGCCGAAAAGAAUCUUGGGUUGCGUCCAGGUGCUACUGCAAGCAUUAGAAAUAGCCGUGGCAUGAUCUCUGGGGCUCCAGGGGUUACUGGCCCGGGUGGCAUGCCUAUUACACGACCUGGUUCGGGGGGUAUGAUGCCUGGCAUGCCAGGAACUAGAAAGAUGCCUGGGAUGCCUGGAAUAGAUAAUGAUAAUUGGGAAUUUCCUAGGCAGCGGUCAAUUCCUAGGGGCGAUGGAUCAGGAAUGCAGCCUGGAGGACGUGUGCAGUCACCAAUGAUUAAUAAGUCUUCAUCACUGAACACUAGGCUGUUACCUCAGGGUACUGGUGGUCCUAUGGGUGCUAGGAGUGCUCUGUUGCAGGGCAGUGGGACCCCUCCUCCACGACCAUCCAACGUUAUUCCAGGCCCAGAGCCUACGUCCCAACUCCCUAUACCUUCUAAACCUGUUACUUCUUCCCCCGUGCCUGCAGUUGUGGAGAAACCACUUCGCCCUGCUGGAAAGUUGAAUCUGGAUGAACUCCGUAGAAAGACAAUCUCAUUACUGGAGGAAUAUUUCAACAUCCGAGUUUUGGAGGAAGCACUGAUGUGUGUCGAGGAACUAAAGUCUCCAGGUUAUCACCCUGAGGUUGUGAAAGAGGCAAUCUCCCUUGCACUUGAAAAAAACCCACCCUGUGUUGAUCCAGUUACAAAACUCUUGGAAUACCUGUUUACACAGAAAGUCAUUACUGCUAGAGACAUUGGGACGGGAUGUUUGCUCUUUGGUGCUUUGAUGGAUGAUGUUGGAAUUGAUUUACCAAGAGCACCGAAUAAUUUUGGUGAGAUUAUUGGGAAACUAAUUCUGGCCGGGGGAUUGGAUUUUAAAGUGGUGCAGGAGAUCCUCAAGAAGAUGGAAGAGGAGAUGUAUCGGAAAUCUGUACUUGAUGCAGCAUUGAGGAUAAUAAGCUGUAGUCCUGGGCAAAACAUAUUGGAUUCACAGGCAUCUGAUAUUGAGGCCUGCCAGAGUCUGCUGUAGCACACCUAAUAUAUAUAUCUCUUUGCAUGAGCGCGAGUGUCCACGUGGAUUUCCCGUGCUUGCUUCCAGGUCUUCAUAACCGACUGAGGCAAGCAACAUGUAUCAUGUGAUAAGGUGGAGCGGUCAAAAAGAAAACUGAAAAAAAUAGGUAAAUUUUAUUGAGUUGUAUAUCUUUUUGGAGGUCAGAGCUUUGUGUUUAUUGAGGAAAGAAAUCAGAACUAUAAAAUGCCAUGGAUUUUGUUCCUGAGUGCAGCUAAUCAUGUUGCCAAAUUGAUUGAGAAGACUGGCCCCUUUUAAGGGAUCCAGUUACUGUUUUGUAUUUGAGUAGUUUUUUUCCUUUUGUUAUUUUGUUUUUAAUUAUUUUUUAGUUUCUUGACUGAAGUAAUUUAGUUUAUUGUUAAACUGUUCACUUCAUAAAUCGCAAAAGUAGUUUGCCCUUCCAUGGUUACAUUGCUGAAAGACAACUGUCUUUGUUUGUCUCUUUGAUCCGAGAUGGGUUCUUCCAUUCUUUUUGUUUCUUUCCUGGCAAUUUCACUUGUGUUUGGAGUAUGGUUUGCAGUGAAUGGCCUAAAUUUUUGGUUGAAUGAGAAAGAGAAUGUGAAUAGAAUGUUGACAAGCAUAUUUGUUCUGAUUGUUUGCUUAUGAGACCCAGUGGAAAAUUUGUAUGCGUGCUUGUGCAAGUUCUGCUUGAGGCUUCUGCAAAUCUCACAUAAAUGCAGUUUUAAGAAUUGAGUUGGGUACAACGUUGUGUCUAAUUGACUUUUCUUUUUAGUCAUAUCUUUUGCUUUCUUACAUCAUUUAGUUGGAAGAGGAGAGCUACUCCUCCAUAGAUCUCGAAUCCAGUAUUGGGAUUGAAGUGGACCUUAGUGGUAAUCUCUUUAACUGGAGAAUCUUUGGGCUUCACAGAGAAUGAUUACGGCACAAUGUUGUAGUAGUAACGCGAGGGAGGGGCUUGGCUUCACUCUAUUAGAAAAGCCUCAAAGCGUUUUUGUUUUUUUUUUAAUUGUCAGUGGAUUGAUGUCUUAUGAUCUAUUGUUAUGUGAGAGGCAUCUAGCCGUUUUCAAAUCCGAAUCAAUCUAACACCAGCCGUUCGAAAAUGUUCUCACAAUUUUGCAGACUUGAAGUGACUUUUCUUAUUUGGUUUUUGUUUCUUUGCUUUCGUUUAUUCUGAAAGUGAAUCAUUCUUGUCCUGGGCCGCGUGCUUUUCUGCCGACCUGAUAAUCUGAGAAAAAUUGUAAGCAAGCGGAGAGAAAGGGACAGCACACUGAUAACUGCCCCAAUGUUCUUUUAGAAAACCUGUUACUUUCGUGCACCUAACCCGAUAUUACGACCAUGGUCGAUUCUUUCUUUUGAACACAAUUCACAAUCAAAUAUCACGACUCACGCUCACAUCGCAUGAGUCAUGACGCAGGAAAAGGUGAAAAGAAGAAAAAGAAAAAGUAAUAGAAAAAGACUGGUUUAAAGUGAAGUGGUAGUUGUUUCACUGUUUGAUAAUAUAUAUUUCUUGCACAGGGCUUUCAACUAAUGUAAUGAUGAAGAACACAAUUUUUGAAUAAGCUACAGCCAAAUUAAUAUUAACUAAAGCGCAGAAGAAGCGCGUAGAAAAGAAAAUAAAAUUAAAAAAAAGAAGAAGAAAAUAUAACUAAUUAGAUAAGGAAGAAACAAAAGAAAAGAAAGGAAGCAAGAUGGAAGUAGUUAUUAUUAUGAGCAGCUGGGUUAGGUGAUGAAGAGGAUCUGUGAUGACCAUUGCGAGUAACUGCAAAGCCGCCGCCACGUGUGCCGCCACGAGCACCCGCACCCCGGGCUCCCUUUUUGAUCUGAGUAGGCAACGACACGGGUUGAGCUGAAACGGUGAUGAGGUAGAUGAUGAUGAAGAUGACGAGUGAAAAGGCAAGCUCGUAACACCUCAAUCUCAUGCUGUUGCUGUUUCUUCUCCCCAUAUAUUGUUCGAUGUCUGUUUGUUCAGACUCCAGAACAAAACCUCUGGUUGCGGCUGGCUAUUGUCUUUUGUUGUGAUGACGUGAAUGUGUUAAUUGUUAACACAAACCUUUCAAACUUUGUGCCAACUUGUUUGAAAAAACCUUGUGAAGGCAAAAGAUAUUUCUGACACUAACUCACGGUGGUUGGCUUCCAUUAUGAAUGAUUACGUUUAAACUUUAAAGUGAUCUACUUUCUGCAUACGUUUAAAGUGAUCUACUUUUCUUUCUUUCUUUCUUUUUUUUUUCUUAAAAAUAAAUAUAUUAUAUUUCUAUUUUCUUCGCAUAGCCUUUCAUUCCUUUUAAGAUUUUUAACGUCUAUUAUUUUUAGAGUAGCGCUCGAGAGAGAGA
rnacentral:lncRNA from 1 species